ACACGUGGGUAACCUGCCCCGAAGACUGGGAUAACCCGAGGAAACUCGGGCUAAUACCGGAUGUGGAUGCGUGGGCUUCGGCUUGCGCAUCUAAAGGGGUUUUCCGCUUCGGGAUGGGCCCGCGGCCUAUCAGGUAGUUGGUGAGGUAACGGCUCACCAAGCCUACGACGGGUAGCCGGUCUGAGAGGACGAUCGGCCCGAGGGGCACUGAGACACGGGCCCCACUCCUACGGGAGGCAGCAGUCGGGAAUCUUGGGCAAUGGGCGCAAGCCUGACCCAGCGACGCCGCGUGGAGGACGAAGCCCUUCGGGGUGUAAACUCCUUUUAGUGGGGACGAACGCAGACGGUACCCACAGAAAAAGCCCCGGCUAACUACGUGCCAGCAGCCGCGGUAAUACGUAGGGGGCGAGCGUUGCCCGAAUUUACUGGGCGUAAAGCGCACGUAGGCGGCUCCGUAAGUCUGGUGUGAAAUCUCACGGCUCAACCGGGAGGCUGCACCAGAUACUGCGGGGCUCGAGGACGGGAGAGGAGAUUGGAAUUCCCGGUGUAGCGGUGAAAUGCAUUGAUAUCGGGAGGAACACCAGUGGCGAAGGCGGAUCUCUGGCCCGCUUCUGACGCUGAGGUGCGAAAGCUGGGGGAGCGAAAGGGAUUAGAUACCCCUGUAGUCCCAGCCCUAAACGAUGGGCGCUAGGUGUUGGGGGAUUAACCCUCAGCGCCGUAGCUAACGCAUUAAGCGCCCCGCCUGGGGAGUACGGCCGCAAGGUUGAAACUCAAAGGAAUUGACGGGGGCCCGCACAAGCGGUGGAGCAUGUGGUUUAAUUCGAUACAACGCGAAGAACCUUACCAGCCCUUGACAUCCUCGGAACUUGGUAGAGAUACCUUGGUGCCUUCGGGAACCGAGUGACAGGUGCUGCAUGGCUGCCGUCAGCUCGUGUCGUGAGAUGUUGGGUUAAGUCCCGCAACGAGCGCAACCCUUGUCCUUAGUUGCCAGCGAGUCAUGUCGGGAACUCUAAGGAGGCUGCCGGUGAUAAACCGGAGGAAGGUGGGGAUGACGUCAAGUCAUCAUGGCCCUUACGGGCUGGGCUACACACGUGCUACAAUGGUCGGUACAAAGGGUAGCAAACUCGCGAGAGCCAGCCAAUCCCACAAAGCCGAUCCUAGUCCGGAUCGCAGUCUGCAACUCGACUGCGUGAAGUCGGAAUCGCUAGUAAUCGCAGAUCAGCAUUGCUGCGGUGAAUACGUUCCCGGGCCUUGUACACACCGCCCGUCACACCAUGGGAGUUGGCUGCACCAGAAGCAGGUAGCUUAACC
rnacentral:rRNA from 1 species